rnacentral:rRNA from 1 species
GAAAAGAAACCAACAGGGAUUGCCCUAGUAACGGCGAGUGAAGCGGCAACAGCUCAAAUUUGAAAUCUGGCUUCGGCCCGAGUUGUAAUUUGCAGAGGAUGUUUCUGGCGCGGUGCCUUCCGAGUUCCCUGGAACGGGACGCCACAGAGGGUGAGAGCCCCGUAUGGUUGGACACCAAACCUGUGUGAAACUCCUUCGACGAGUCGAGUAGUUUGGGAAUGCUGCUCAAAAUGGGAGGUAAAUCUCUUCUAAAGCUAAAUACCGGCCAGAGACCGAUAGCGCACAAGUAGAGUGAUCGAAAGAUGAAAAGCACCUUGAAAAGGGGGUUAAACAGUACGUGAAAUUGUUGAAAGGGAAGCGCUUGUGACCAGACUUGCGCCGGGCGGUUCAUCCGGGGUUCUCCCCGGUGCACUCCGCCCGGCUCAGGCCAGCAUCGGUUUUCGUUGGGGGAUAAGAACGUCAGGAACGUGGCCCUCCUUCGGGUGGGUGUUAUAGCCUGGCGUACGAUACCCUGACGGGGACCGAGGUUCGCGCUCGCAAGGAUGCUGG